rnacentral:snRNA from 1 species
AUGCUUGCUUCAGCAGCACACAUACUAAAAUUGGAACAAUACAGAGGAGAUUAGCAUGGCCCUUGCGCAAGGAUGACACACAAAUUCGUGAAGGAUUCCAUAUUUUC